CCUACGGGUGGCAGCAGUGAGGAAUAUUGGUCAAUGGACGAGAGUCUGAACCAGCCAAGUAGCGUGAAGGAUGACUGCCCUAUGGGUUGUAAACUUCUUUUAUAUGGGAAUAAAAUGUUCCACGUGUGGGUUUUUGUAUGUACCCUAUGAAUAAGGAUCGGCUAACUCCGUGCCAGCAGCCGCGGUAAUACGUAGGAUCCGAGCGUUAUCCGGAUUUAUUGGGUUUAAAGGGAGCGUAGGUGGAUUUUUAAGUCAGUUGUGAAAGUUUGCGGCUCAACCGUAAAAUUGCAGUUGAAACUGGCAGUCUUGAGUACAGUAGAGGUGGGCGGAAUUCGUGGUGUAGCGGUGAAAUGCUUAGAUAUCACGAAGAACUCCGAUUGCGAAGGCAGCUCACUGGACUGCAACUGACACUGAGGCUCGAAAGUGUGGGUAUCAAACAGGAUUAGAUACCCUUGUAGUC
rnacentral:rRNA from 1 species